UACGAGGGGGGCAAGCGUUGUUCGGAAUUAUUGGGCGUAAAGGGCGCGUAGGCGGUGCGGUAAGUCACCUGUGAAAACUCUGGGCUCAACUCAGAGCCUGCAGGCGAAACUGCCGUGCUUGAGUGUGGGAGAGGUGCGUGGAAUCCCCGGUGUAGCGGUGAAAUGCGUAGAUAUCAUGAGGAAGACCAGUGGCGAAGGCGGGUCUCUGGACAGUUCCUGGCACUGAGGCACGAAGGCCAGGGGAGCAAACGGG
rnacentral:rRNA from 1 species